AUAGUGAACCAGUACCGUGAGGGAAAGGUGAAAAGCACCCCGGAAGGGGAGUGAAACAGUUCCUGAAACCGUGUGCCUACAAGUAGUUAGAGCCCGUUAAUGGGUGAUAGCGUGCCUUUUGUAGAAUGAACCGGCGAGUUACGAUUUGUUGCAAGGUUAAGCGGAAAAAGCGGAGCCGUAGCGAAAGCGAGUCUGAAUAGGGCGCAUAAGUAACAGGUCGUAGACCCGAAACCAGGUGAUCUACCCAUGUCCAGGAUGAAGGUAAGGUAAUACUUACUGGAGGUCCGAACCCACGCACGUUGAAAAGUGCGGGGAUGAGGUGUGGGUAGCGGAGAAAUUCCAAUCGAACUUGGAGAUAGCUGGUUCUCUCCGAAAUAGCUUUAGGGCUAGCCUCGAGGUAAAGAGUCAUGGAGGUAGAGCACUGUUUGGACUAGGGGCCCUUCUCGGGUUACCGAAUUCAGAUAAACUCCGAAUGCCAUGUACUUCUAC
rnacentral:rRNA from 1 species